GCAGCCCCCAGCUCUCAGCCCCUACUAACUAGUGUCAGUUCUCGCUCCCCCUCCGGCCAGCUCUCCCUCUGGGACACCGGCGUCCGGCUGUGCUAGUCCUUGCAUCUCUUUCUUUUCCCUGAUCUCUCCCUCCCCGUCCUUGGCCCGAAACCCCUUGGAUCUUCUGACGGCACCUCUAGAAAGCCACCCCCCACCCUUGAAGCCGCAGUGUCUGGGGCUCCCGGCUCCCUGACCCCUGGGACCCUGCUCUUUCAAAACCUCUCCCUGUCCCCCCACUCCUCAAGGGCCCGGAUGUCCUGAGCUGCCAGUAACAAGCACUUAUUAAGUCCCUACAGCGGAGCAGGCAUUGGGCUCCAAGUUAGGUAUCAGUCAUUGGGAUCCCAAUCCCAGCGUCCCGGGCUCCCACUUCCUCAGCCCUUUGGCACCCGUCCCCAGGCCCUGGAAUCGCAGUCUGGCCGAGCAGGGGGUCCUCCUCCCACAGCCCCAUUUCAGUGUGGAGGAAGCCGGAGGAAUGAAAGGAACUCGCCAAGUGAUGUUUGUCAUCAGGACGCCAGCAUCUGAGCCUCUCAGCCUCCGACCUCGGGACUCCACCUCUGCCUCCUCUCAUUUCCACGGUCCAACUUGGAACAGAGAGAUCUUCCCACUUUCCUCAUCUUCCAGAAUUCAAAUCUGGCCUCAGAUACUUCUUCGAUGUGCCAACCUGGGAAAAUGAUCUCUCUGCUGAAAACGAGGGAACAAAAAUGACUAACGGAGAGUUGAUAUCUGAGAUAAGAAAAACAGUAGGAAGCCCUCCUUGAUUGAAUUCAAGUCUCCUUAUCUGGAUGAAGUAUAGCUUCAAGUCCUUAGAGAACUGGAGAUGUGAUGGCUGAGCCUGGGGCACAUAUCCAAGAUGUGAUACAAAAUCUUCCAGGACUUCUCAGUACAGACAACCCCUAUCCCUCUCUGCAUGUCCAAGGCCAUCCUGUUUCCCCAGGCCAUCCUGCUUGCAGCAUCCAAUUGGCUGGCAGUGUCCUUUACUGCCUCUCCUAAGAACAAUGGGACCCAAAGUCCUUUGGGAUAUGGGGCGAUGAUCCCAUCUGCUGAAACGACUGGGCAUAGAGCCGAUUCAUCUUACAGAGUCCCGAUUUGGAGGGACACCGGACUGACCGAAGACCCAGUGGCGUGAGUCAGAGCCUUGAAGCUGGUCAAUACAACUAGAAGAAAAAAACGAACCUAAGAAGCUGAGGUCAGGGACAGACAACGACUGCUGAGGGGAUCUCCACUUGGAGACAUUGCCCAUGUCAGGACCUUCAGAAAUGUUUAGAGGAGGUUCAUCUCACAGCCUGAAGUUUGGCCAAAAAGUUGAGGCAGGUGAGUUGGAGAGAGAGAGCUCCUCCCUCUUGGGCCUUCCACCUAACAGUGGCCAGUGAAAAGAGAUUUCACAAGACUGAAGGGUUUUUUGGGAUCCUGGUACAGACCCAAGAGAAGUUUCCACUGGCUUGUCUCUGGGAUUAGAAACUGGCCUCAGGAGAUUUAAAACCACCCAGAGGGGGAAGAAUAUAUCCCCUCUUUGUCAGGGUCUGCUGAAGGAUCAACUGGAAAAGGCCAGCUGAUUGGCCAGUAGCUU